rnacentral:rRNA from 1 species
UUGGGCGUAAGCGCGCGUAGGCGGUUUUUUUAAGAUCUGAUGUGAAAGCCCACGGCCUCAACCGGUGGGAGGGUCAUUGGAAACUGGAAAACUUGAGUGCAGAAGAGGAAAGUGGAAUUCCAUGUGUAGCGGUGAAAUGCGCAGAGAUAUGGAGGAACACCUGGUGGCGAAGGCGACUUUCUGGUCUGUAACUGACGCUGAUGUGCGAAAGCGUGGGGAUCAAACAGGAUUAUAUACCCUGGUAGUCCACCCCGUAAACGAUGAGUGCUAAGUGUUAGGGGGUUUCCCCCCCUUAGUGCUGCACCUAACGCAUUAAGCACUCCGCCUGGGGAGUACGACCGCAGGGUUGAAACUCAAAUGAAUUGACGGAAUCACUAGUGAAGCUCACAAC